UACGUAGGGUCCGAGCGUUGUCCGGAAUUACUGGGCGUAAAGAGCUCGUAGGUGGUUUGUCGCGUUGUUCGUGAAAACUCACAGCUCAACUGUGGGCGUGCGGGCGAUACGGGCAGACUAGAGUACUGCAGGGGAGACUGGAAUUCCUGGUGUAGCGGUGGAAUGCGCAGAUAUCAGGAGGAAUACCGGUGGCGAAGGCGGGUCUCUGGGCAGUAACUGACGCUGAGGAGCGAAAGCGUGGGGAGCGAACAGG
rnacentral:rRNA from 1 species